AAACGGGAAAGUCCUGUACGGCAUGCUCCUGACGAAUCCCCCCAGGGCUUGACGGCAGCAAGGGUAGUCGGUCGUAGCGGCGCGAUACAGUAAGCUUUCCCACC
rnacentral:SRP_RNA from 1 species